CAAUGAAUUAAGCAGCUCUGGGGUACAGUUGCAACACAGUAGGCACAUUAACUUAUUAUGAAAUAAGCAGAAUGUUAUAGAAUACCACAGAAGAUCAGCAGAGGAUACACAGGACCAACAUCCCCUUUGUUCCUGCAGGCAGGAUUACCAGAGAAGGCAAGAAGAUGUAGUAACCAAGGACUAAGCUGGCAGCCUUCGGAAGGAGAAAGAACAAAAGGUUGAGAUAGAGAAGAAAAAGGAGAGCUUAAAUAUCAAAAAUGGUAAAAAAGACAAUUAUCAUAUCAAAUUUUUACUUUGGAGUAGAGUGAUAC
rnacentral:lncRNA from 1 species